rnacentral:tRNA from 1 species
UGGCUCAAUGGUUAGAGCGUUGGACUUCUGAUCAAAGGGUCGUGGGUUCGAUCCAC